rnacentral:rRNA from 1 species
AGAGUUUGAUCCUGGCUCAGAGCGAACGCUGGCGGCGUACUUAACACAUGCAAGUCGAACGGGGAUCGUCGGUGUAGCAAUACAUCGGCGGUUCUAGUGGCGCACGGGUGAGUAACACGUGGGUAACCUGUCCUUGAGUUCGGGAUACCCUCUCGAAAGGGAGGCUAAUACCGGAUACGUUCCCCGGAUUGCGAAAUCUGGGGAGGAAAGGCGGCGCAAGCUGCCGCUCUUGGAGGGGCUCGCGGCCUAUCAGCUAGUUGGUGAGGUAACGGCUCACCAAGGCUAUGACGGGUAGCUGGUCUGAGAGGACGACCAGCCACACGGGAGGAGAGACACGGUCCCGACUCCUACGGGAGGCAGCAGUGGGGAAUUUUCCGCAAUGGGCGAAAAGCCUGACGGAGAGGCGCCGCGUGGGGGACGAAGGCCUUCGGGUUGUAAACCCAUGUGAGAGGGAAAGAAGGGUCAUGUGGCUAACAUCCACGUGACUGACGGACCUCAGAGAAGCCCCCU